UUCAAGAACAAGCCUCAACGGCCCUUGAAGAAAUCUCAUGCCCAAUUCAAGAUCAAGCAUCGAUGGCCCUUGGAUCGACAUCUACAGUAAGGGACUUCAAAACGCAUCUCCUACACGUGACAAGCAUAUGUAUACGACGUGCCUUGAAGUGGGGGCAUUUGUAGACAUCGAAAUUUCGUAAAUAAAUGUUGACCGGUAAAUCAA
rnacentral:lncRNA from 1 species